rnacentral:rRNA from 1 species
UACAGAGGUCUCAAGCGUUGUUCGGAUUCAUUGGGCGUAAAGGGUGCGUAGGCGGCGCGCUAAGUCGGGUGUGAAAUUUCGGAGCUUAACUCCGAAACUGCAUUCGAUACUGGCGUGCUUGAGGACUGGAGAGGAGACUGGAAUUCAUGGUGUAGCAGUGAAAUGCGUAGAUAUCGUAAGGAAGACCAGUGGCGAAGGCGGGUCUCUGGACAGUUCCUGACGCUGAGGCACGAAGGUCAGGGGAGCAAACGGG